CCCUUAGAUGUUCUGGGCCGCACGCGCGCUACACUGAUGCAUUCAACGAGUCUAAAACCUGGUCUGAUAGGGCUGGGUAAUCUUUUGAAUGUGCAUCGUGAUUGGGAUAGAUGAUUGCAAUUCUUCAUCUUCAACGAGGAAUGCCUAGUAAACGCAAGUCAUCAGCUUGCAUUGAUUACGUCCCUGCCCUUUGUACACGCCGCCCGUCGCUCCUACCGAUUGAAUGUUCCGAUGAAUACCAUGGACUGAGAGUAUGAAUGGGUUCGCCUAUUUCUGCUUCUCGGGAAGUGGAGUAAAUCUUAACAUUUAGAGGAAGGAGAAGUCGUAACA
rnacentral:rRNA from 1 species